AUGCGCCGAGACCAACCUUGGGUGCUGGGCUCCGAGGAUGUCCUUCUGGCCGUACUUCCUCCAGCUGCGGCCGUCGUCGGCGGGGGCGUCCGCCCCUCCCGCCGCCGAGCUCACCCUGAUCUGACGCCCCCCUUUCUCCGACGUCUUCCUGCGAAUCCAAGAACAAGAAAUCACUCAACAAUCCAGCAAAAAAGAUUAAAAGAAAACAGUUUCUCUGCAACUGCGAGGGGUUUUGGGUCACCUCUUCUUGUUGGGCUUGAACGGCGUGUUGGAGACGCCGCUGAGGGGGCUGGGCGUGGGGGACAGCGGCGGCGAGUCGAGGCCGGCGCCGGCGGCCGGGCGCUUGGGGCCGUUGAAGUGGCCGGACCUGAUCAUGCCGAUGGACCUCUCGGUGACGGCGAAGAUCUGCUGGGCGAGGAGCUUGCAGAGGUCGGGCGAGCCCCCCAGGUGCACGUCCAGCUGCUUCACCAGCUCCUUGAUGUGGCUCAGCUCCGUCACCACCAGGCCGCUCCCUCCUCCAUUGCCCUCAUGCACGGCCUCCAUCUCUAUCUGCUCGGGGUUUCUUUCUCGCCGGUGCAGGAUUCCUAUCUGAUUUCUCAGAGCAAAUGUAAGAUCGGAAGUGUGUGUCUGUGUGUGUGUGUGUGUGUGUGUGUGUGUGUGUGUGUGUGUGUGGAGAGAGAGAGCGCGGAGGAGAGGCAAAAUGGGGAUGUGAUCGGGCAGAAGGGAGGAUGA
rnacentral:rRNA from 1 species